rnacentral:rRNA from 1 species
GAUGAACGCUAGCUACAGGCUUAACACAUGCAAGUCGAGGGGUAACAAGAGGAAAGCUCGCUUUUCUUGUUGACGACCGGCGCACGGGUGAGUAACGCGUAUCCAACCUGCCUAUAACUAGGGAAUAACCUUGCGAAAGUAAGACUAAUACCCUAUGAUUUCCUUUGAUGACAUCAGAUUAGGAAUAAAGAUUUAUCGGUUAUAGAUGGGGAUGCGUCUGAUUAGCUUGUUGGCGGGGUAACGGCCCACCAAGGCAACGAUCAGUAGGGGUUCUGAGAGGAAGGUCCCCCACAUUGGAACUGAGACACGGUCCAAACUCCUACGGGAGGCAGCAGUGAGGAAUAUUGGUCAAUGGGCGGAAGCCUGAACCAGCCAAGUAGCGUGCAGGACGACGGCCCUAUGGGUUGUAAACUGCUUUUAUACAGGAAUAAAGUUAGCCACGUGUGGUUAUUUGUAGGUACUGUAUGAAUAAGGACCGGCUAAUUCCGUGCCAGCCGCCGCCGUAA